rnacentral:lncRNA from 1 species
UUCGAUCCAAAUGUAACGAAGAACCGGGGUCUGGUCCUGAACAAAUUUCACCCUUCGUUUUUUUUCUACCUAUUACGGUUACGGUGUUGGAACGAUAACAAGGUUUUUGGGUUUCGGAGGGAUUACUCCGAACCGACAAAAUAUUUUGACUCACAGGGUGAGUUCCGGAUAGUUAUUCAUGACACCGAUACAAAGUGUGAAC